UGGCUAGGACAAACUAUCCCAGGUCUUCCUUUCCCAGAUGCUGCUGUCCCUGACUCAAGCCAGCGACUGAAUGCUUGAUUUUAUCUACCCACAAAGCCAAUCCAUGAUCCCCUCUCUCUCUCUCUUCCACUCUUCUUGCCUUCAUCACGAAGGCUGCUCUCAUCAACGACCAUGGGUAAGCCAAGGAGCUCACGUAUUGCUCUCGCGACCGGUGCUGGCGGGGCUACGCGCUUCGAUUGGGCGACGGACGGCCCCGUCUUGGUCUCGCGCCGCCAUCGAUCCGCCCUUCUCGUUCGCCGCGCGCCCGCGCCCUAUGCUAGCAGGUGGGUGGGGGAGGACGAGGUCGCUGCGGUUGUCGGCGCCUCCUCUGUCGCCGGAGGCCAUGGACUCUCCGUCUCUCCCCAUCAACCGCAUAAUCCGCCUCUGCUGUUGUUUUCAUCGGGUGUGAGGUGAGUCUCAGUUUCUAUUUCUGUCGAUUAGUAUUUUUUUUGUUAGAUAUUCACAGAAAUUAAGGGAGUAUCUGUGGUCAAAAGAUUUUAGGUAUCUACACUCCAAUGCUUAUUUCAGGAUCGUGUGAAGGUGAGAAGCCUAUUCAAACUGGCAUAUCAUGGCCAACCUGUUUUGUUUAGCGCAAUCCCCUAGGCUGCACACGAGCUUGCCUUGGCUAUCUGUGGUUGGUUCCGUAGUGUAUUUGAGGUUAUGCCCAUGUUUAGAGUCGAAGAUUCCAAUACACGUAGGCAUCUGUGUGAGUUUGUAUGGGUCACUAUUUUGGGGUGAAGAAGAUUGAUAGGGUAUAGUUCAUCUGCAAAACAGUGACUAUGAAUUUGUUUCUCUAUAAAGGUUUGCGAUAUUAUAGAUGGAUUAUUCAUUGAAUUAUUUAGACCGUUUACUGGAAAUUGCAAGAACGAACUUGAGACAAUUAAUAAAGCAGUAUCCAUUUGAGCAACUGAAGGUAAAAUAUUCCUGCUUGGUUAUUCCAGUUAUGUUACAAUAUUUGAGUUUUGUGGCUCAAGAUGUUGAUUCACAUUGUCUUAAUUCCUGCAUAUUGGUUUCUUUAUACCCCUUGACAUGGAGAUCCAGGAAGGAGGGAAGGAGGCGAGUCUCUCCCACGGCGUCGCUGUCAAGGAGCAGUAAGGGACCUCCCUGUCUAUAAGCAUCGUCGCGAGGAGGACAAAAGGCUGUAGGCUGGUGAGAUACAUACUGGUUAAGGUUAUGUGAUUUGUGUGCGGUAUCGGAUCCAGGUAGCACAAUGCUUCAGACUCACAUCAAAGGAAAAAGCUGAUCAAUAGGUUUCAGCCAUGGAACAUGCCCGUGGUCAUCUACCUAGCAUUUGAUCAAGCGAAUGAAACUGUGAGACUCAGUAUGCCAAUGUUGAAGUGACCAAACACCUGACCGUAAAAUGGCACAUGUACAUCUAGCUCUUUAUUCUAUCACUUUGAUUUGUGGAAGCCACUAAGUUGCUGCUGUAGGGAUGCAUAAUCAGAUGAAGGGAGAGGAGGAAGAGCUCAAGAAGAUUAAUAUAUUUCUAUAUUAUUCCACAUAUAUGAGUUUGUGUGACGUUACUUUCAAUUACUAAAGAUGGUCUUCUUUGAUGGUUUAUAUCUGCUUCAUACUUUCUGUUAUGUUUCUGUGUCAAUAAAUACACCACCUGUUUGUAUCAAAAUAGAGGGAUAUUUGCAGGCUUCAAUGGAAGGGUGUUGUAAGAGAUCAGAAACUUAUUUAGUUAAUCAUAUUAUGUGGUACAUUUGUGACUAGUUGCUAGAAGUGAGAAGAGGCCAAAUGAAUCUUUAUAAGAUUUUACGCUACGCUGUAAGCAAAAUUCAGAUAGUACAUAUGACUGAUCAGGCAUGGUAUGAACUCUUAUAACAUACGCACAUGAUCUUAUCAUUGUUUCUGGGUUGAUCCAUCUAAGCUAUAAUGCCAUAUAUCUAAACUAACAUUUUUAACUCAAAUUGCUGACUGAGGACCAAACAAGACAGCCCAAUGUGCUGAGAAAAGAUAGGGGCACACAUGAACGUCUCAAGAGGCGCGCACAGGCGCGCCCCAACCACUAGUGGAACAUAUAAAUGAUGCUAUGCUACCCGCCCAUAUGGAGCACUUGCAUCGCGCGGUCAAUCAGGUUCACACGAUCUGCCAUGGUUUCAUAAUUUAUCGAAGAUUGCAGGGUAACUAAUUGCACCUUAUGGAGAAGGAGCAGGCCGUGGAGGAGUGCAAGCAGCAGGUUCCCGGUGACUGCAAAUCUGAAACUGAAGAUAGGGCUGAUUGCAUUGGUUCUGAUUGCUUGCAGAACUUGUGGCAUGCUGGCCCUGGAGUAGUCGGACCCUGCCAAGAAAGAGGAGCGGGAGAUGAGGAGCGCAACAUUUAGUGUACAAUGGUGCAUGAUGUGGCAGUUAGGACCAGGACACGAGGAACACGACACUGGGUGUAUGAAAGAUUAGUAGGAAGAAUGUUAAUCACGGUGUGUGAAAAGAAAAUGCGAGCUCGGCUGAUGGAUUGCGUACUAUUUGGCUGAGUUGUUUUGUCCUAAAGAUACAAUCAAGCUGAAGAGUUCUUUUUGUAUGGAAAUUCACUAUGGAAAUCGAAACAAUGGUACUCUGCACAACCGUUUACUUUCUUGCAUCGAUUCUUCAUUAUGUAAGUGAAACCUUUUCUAUUUGGUAAAAUAAGAGUGAGCUCAUGCUUGAACUUCCACCAUGUAUGUUAACACUUGGAUACUGUAUCAACCCAGUAAUCCUCCGAUCCUUCAUUGUUUUCCCUUGCAUUGCCUCCUUUAACUAUUCAGCAGGACCUUUGAAAAGAAUGAUUUUGGUUAUAUAAUUUAUUAUGUUUUGUUUCACCUUCGAGAGGUAGAAUGUAAAGUAGGCUGGUAUUUUCAUUCUGUUCAUAUGCAGAUAUUUGAUAUAGGUGAAUAUAUACCUUUCGAUAGGUGAAUGUGCUCUCCAUUAAUAUCACUCAUAUAUUUGAGCUUCAGAGAAGGAUAUCUAUGCCAUUUUUUUUUUGUUUUUUGAACAAAAGAGUGUUCUAUGUGUAUCGUUAAGAGGACGAAGCAGCAAAAUUAUCUACGCAAUUUAGCAGGAUAUGGCUGAUACGUACAGAGUGGCUUUACUUAGGUCUGGUGUUACUACUAUUUCUUUCAUUGUAAAACUGCAGUGCAGCAGAGUUUAUAGAUAGAUAUAUAAUGGUAUUUGAUGUUUCCAUGUAGUUUUAAAACAACCUCCUAGCACUGUUCAUUUUAGAUAGAUAUAUAAUGGUAUGAGAUCGACUAUGUCCCCUCCAUUGAUGUGCUUCUCCAGAUUUGAGGAAUCGUUUGGGUUUUAUCUACUUGUCCAUGAAGGAUGCUUCAUGAUGAAAAUUCCUCAUAUAAUGUUUUUUGAGAGGAAGAGUUUAGGGAGUACUAUAUCUCUCAAGAUAUGCCAGAGAAUUGAAUAUGAACUCACAUAAAAGAAUUGAGAUUACAAACGUAGAGGCUUCACUAGAAGAGAGGCCCUUGCUGUAGAUCACAAGAGACAUGUUUUUUGUAGGUACAAGAACCAUAUUGCUAUUUACGAUUAUCUCCCAGCAAUGAAAGUGUAUGUGACAAACAUGAAUAAGCUAGGGGAAAAGUCAACUGCUCUCUUCCUUUUUGUUUGAGUGUUAACUUUUGUUUUCAAUUUCCAACUUUGUGCAACUAUUUUCUAUAUAUGUAUAGGUGCUUGCUAUGUUAGAGAUAAAAAAGGAUCUUCAUUGCAACAAGCCCCGUGGGGGUUACAGCAAGCCAUGUGAGCACAGGGCAUGGAGAAAUGCCAGUAUUCUUGAAAUCCCUUGUUGCAUUUGUUCUUUGUCCUCCUGGGAUGUUAGUAAGACAUCCUUUUCUUAGGUAUUGAGUAGGAUUUUAGAUGCACAAUUUGUUAAAAAAAUCAAUGCUUAAGCUGACGAUAAGGUGAUGUUUGGCCUUGGCCUUUUGUUCUAAUCAUUUGUUGUUAUUAUCACAUAUCAUUUCAUCAAUUUUUUGGCUUCAUUCUUCCCUUCCUACUUGCGGCAGGUAGAAGACUCGGGCAACAGUUAAUGGACAAGCACUAUAUACACAAUGCAUCUCUGCUAAUAUAGCUUACUUUAUAAAGCCAUCAAUGUAUGCUAUUAUCAAGCGAUUUGAAUAUUUUAUUUUAAGCUAUCAUGUAAUGGAAUAUAACUAUCCUUAACUUGUUCUAAAUCAGUCUAAUAUGCAUGGUUUGAAUCCUCGGCUCGCUCUUCCUUUUGGCUUGAUAUGAAUAUUUUCUUUCAAGCUAUCAUGUAAUGGAAUGUAAGUAUUUAUUAAGUUGGUUUAAAUCAAUCUCAUAUGCAUGAUUUUAAUACUCGGCUUACUCUUGCUUUUUGCGCCAUGGGCACAACGGGUCAUCUAGCAUGAACAAAGGACAAGCAUAUGCUUUCGCCUUCAAAUGCACUUCCAAGGGACUGCGCCUGAUCGUCUACUCAAUAUAAGCAAGUUGCAAGAGCCCUUUGUUAUUAUAACUUAGCAUUAGUAUAGAUGCCUACCAAGACUUAUGUAAUCCCCUAAGACCAUCAUGUGCAUUUAACUGUCGGUUAUUUGCUACUUAGGCUGCUGUGUGGUAUGAUGAAAGAAAUAUAUGCUUUCAUUUUGUGUUUACAUAUUUUAGUGCAAACUCUUACAA